rnacentral:rRNA from 1 species
UGACUGCGUACCUUUUGUAUAAUGGGUCAGCGACUUAUUUUCAGUGGCGAGCUUAACCGAAUAGGGGAGGCGUAGCGAAAGCGAGUCUUAAUAGGGCGUCUAGUCGCUGGGAAUAGACCCGAAACCGGGCGAUCUAUCCAUGGGCAGGUUGAAGGUUGGGUAACACUAACUGGAGGACCGAACCGACUACCGUUGAAAAGUUAGCGGAUGACCUGUGGAUCGGAGUGAAAGGCUAAUCAAGCUCGGAGAUAGCUGGUUCUCCUCGAAAGCUAUUUAGGUAGCGCCUCAUGUAUCACUGUAGGGGGUAGAGCACUGUUUCGGCUAGGGGGUCAUCCCGACUUACCAAACCGAUGCAAACUCCGAAUACCUACAAGUGCCGAGCAUGGGAGACACACGGCGGGUGCUAACGUCCGUCGUGAAAAGGGAAACAACCCAGACCGUCAGCUAAGGUCCCAAAGUUAUGGUUAAGUGGGAAACGAUGUGGGAAGGCUUAGACAGCUAGGAGGUUGGCUUAGAAGCAGCCACCCUUUAAAGAAAGCGUAAUAGCUCACUAGUCGAGUCGGCCUGCGCGGAAGAUGUAACGGGGCUCAAACCAUACACCGAAGCUACGGGUAUCACGUAAGUGAUGCGGUAGAGGAGCGUUCUGUAAGCCUGUGAAGGUGAGUUGAGAAGCUUGCUGGAGGUAUCAGAAGUGCGAAUGCUGACAUGAGUAACGACAAUGGGUGUGAAAAACACCCACGCCGAAAGACCAAGGUUUCCUGCGCAACGUUAAUCGACGCAGGGUUAGUCGGUCCCUAAGGCGAGGCUGAAAAGCGUAGUCGAUGGAAAACAGGUUAAUAUUCCUGUACUUCUGGUUAUUGCGAUGGAGGGACGGAGAAGGCUAGGCCAGCUUGGCGUUGGUUGUCCAAGUUUAAGGUGGUAGGCUGAGAUCUUAGGUAAAUCCGGGAUCUUAAGGCCGAGAGCUGAUGACGAGCUAACUUUUAGUUAGCGAAGUGGUUGAUGCCAUGCUUCCAAGAAAAGCUUCUAAGCUUCAGGUAACCAGGAACCGUACCCCAAACCGACACAGGUGGUUGGGUAGAGAAUACCAAGGCGCUUGAGAGAACUCGGGUGAAGGAACUAGGCAAAAUGGCACCGUAACUUCGGGAGAAGGUGCGCCGGUGAGGGUGAAGGACUUGCUCCGUAAGCUCAUGCCGGUCGAAGAUACCAGGCCGCUGCGACUGUUUAUUAAAAACACAGCACUCUGCAAACACGAAAGUGGACGUAUAGGGUGUGACGCCUGCCCGGUGCCGGAAGGUUAAUUGAUGGGGUUAGCUAACGCGAAGCUCUUGAUCGAAGCCCCGGUAAACGGCGGCCGUAACUAUAACGGUCCUAAGGUAGCGAAAUUCCUUGUCGGGUAAGUUCCGACCUGCACGAAUGGCGUAACGAUGGCGGCGCUGUCUCCACCCGAGACUCAGUGAAAUUGAAAUCGCUGUGAAGAUGCAGUGUAUCCGCGGCUAGACGGAAAGACCCCGUGAACCUUUACUAUAGCUUUGCACUGGACUUUGAAUUUGCUUGUGUAGGAUAGGUGGGAGGCUUUGAAGCGUGGACGCCAGUCUGCGUGGAGCCAUCCUUGAAAUACCACCCUGGCAACUUUGAGGUUCUAACUCAGGUCCGUUAUCCGGAUCGAGGACAGUGUAUGGUGGGUAGUUUGACUGGGGCGGUCUCCUCCUAAAGAGUAACGGAGGAGUACGAAGGUGCGCUCAGACCGGUCGGAAAUCGGUCGUAGAGUAUAAAGGCAAAAGCGCGCUUGACUGCGAGACAGACACGUCGAGCAGGUACGAAAGUAGGUCUUAGUGAUCCGGUGGUUCUGUAUGGAAGGGCCAUCGCUCAACGGAUAAAAGGUACUCCGGGGAUAACAGGCUGAUACCGCCCAAGAGUUCAUAUCGACGGCGGUGUUUGGCACCUCGAUGUCGGCUCAUCACAUCCUGGGGCUGAAGCCGGUCCCAAGGGUAUGGCUGUUCGCCAUUUAAAGUGGUACGCGAGCUGGGUUUAGAACGUCGUGAGACAGUUCGGUCCCUAUCUGCCGUGGACGUUUGAGAUUUGAGAGGGGCUGCUCCUAGUACGAGAGGACCGGAGUGGACGAACCUCUGGUGUUCCGGUUGUCACGCCAGUGGCAUUGCCGGGUAGCUAUGUUCG